UACGUAGGGUGCGAGCGUUAAUCGGAAUUACUGGGCGUAAAGCGUGCGCAGGCGGUUUGUUGAAGACAGACUGUGAAAUCCCCGGGCUUAACCUGGGAACUGCAUUGUGACUGGCAAGCUAGAGUAUGGCAGAGGGGGGUGGAAUUCCGCGUGUAGCAGUGAAAUGCGUAGAGAUGUGGAGAACACCGAUGGCGAAGGCAGCCCCUGGGUCAAGAUUGACGCUCAUGCACGAAAGCGUGGGAGCAAACAGG
rnacentral:rRNA from 1 species